rnacentral:rRNA from 1 species
AGGGUUUGAUCAUGGCUCAGAACGUACGCUGGCGGCACGCCUAACACAUGCAAGUCGAACGAAGUAGCAAUACUUAGUGGCAGACGGGUGAGUAACAUGUGGGUAUCUGCCCUUUGGCCUGGAAUAACACGAGGAAACUUGUGCUAAUACCGGAUAAGUCUUUACGGAGAAAGCUUUAUGCACCAUUGGAUGAGCCCGCACUUGAUUAGUUUGUUGGUGGGGUAAUGGCCUACCAAGACUAUGAUCAAUAGCUGAUUUGAGAGGAUGAUCAGCCACAUUGGGACUGAGACACGGCCCAAACUCCUACGGGAGGCAGCAGUGGGGAAUCUUGCACAAUGGAGGAAACUCUGAUGCAGCGAUGCCGCGUGAGUGAAGAAGGCCCUUGGGUUGUAAAGCUCUUUCGUCGGGGAAGAAAAUGACUGUACCCGAAUAAGAAGGUCCGGCUAACUUCGUGCCAGCAGCCGCGGUAAUACGAAGGGACCUAGCGUAGUUCGGAAUUACUGGGCUUAAAGAGUUCGUAGGUGGUUGAAAAAGUUGGUGGUGAAAUCCCAGAGCUUAACUCUGGAACUGCCAUCAAAACUUUUCAGCUAGAGUUUGAUAGAGGAAAGCAGAAUUUCUAGUGUAGAGGUGAAAUUCGUAGAUAUUAGAAAGAAUACCAAUUGCGAAGGCAGCUUUCUGGAUCAUUACUGACACUGAGGAACGAAAGCAUGGGUAGCGAAGAGGAUUAGAUACCCUCGUAGUCCAUGCCGUAAACGAUGUGUGUUAGACGUUGGAAAUUUAUUUUCAGUGUCGCAGCGAAAGCGAUAAACACACCGCCUGGGGAGUACGACCGCAAGGUUAAAACUCAAAUGAAUUGACGGGGACCCGCACAAGUAGUGGAGCAUGUGGUUUAAUUCGAAGAUACGCGCAGAACCUUACCAACACUUGACAUGUUCGUCGCGACUUUAAGAGAUUAAAGUUUUCGGUUCGGCCGGACGAAACACAGGUGCUGCAUGGCUGUCGUCAGCUCGUGUCGUGAGAUGUUGGGUUAAGUCCCGCAACGAGCGCAACCCUCACUUUUAGUUGCCAUCAUUAAGUUGGGCACUCUGAAAGAACUGCCAGUGAUAAGCUGGAGGAAGGUGGGGAUGACGUCAAGUCCUCAUGGCCCUUACGUGUUGGGCUACACACGUGCUACAAUGGUAUCUACAACAGGAAGCGAAACAGCGAUGUUAAGCAAAUCCUUAAAAGAUACCUCAGUUCGGAUUGCACUCUGCAACUCGAGUGCAUGAAGCUGGAAUUACUAGUAAUCGUGGAUCAGCGUGCCACGGUGAAUGCGUUCCCGGGUCUUGUACACACCGCCCGUCACACCAUGGGAGUUGGUUCUACCUUAAGGCAAGGUUUAAUACCCUUGACCACGGUAUAGUCAGCGACUGGGGUGAAGUCAUAACAAGGUAACCGUA